rnacentral:tRNA from 1 species
GGCUCGGUAGCUUAGUUGGAAAAGCACUUGUCUAGCGAAUAAGGCUCGUGAGUUCAAAUCUCACCUGAGCUG